GUCAAUAUAGUUUAAUAAAAACAUUAGGCUGUGGCUCUAAGAACAGAAGAUAUUUACUUCUUAUUGACC
rnacentral:tRNA from 1 species